UACGUAGGGUGCGAGCGUUGUCCGGAAUUAUUGGGCGUAAAGAGCUCGUAGGCGGUGUGUCACGUCGGCCGUGAAAACCUGCAGCUUAACUGUGGGCGUGCGGUCGAUACGGGCAGGCUAGAGUUCGGCAGGGGAGACUGGAAUUCCUGGUGUAGCGGUGAAAUGCGCAGAUAUCAGGAGGAACACCGGUGGCGAAGGCGGGUCUCUGGGCCGAUACUGACGCUGAGGAGCGAAAGCGUGGGGAGCGAACAGG
rnacentral:rRNA from 1 species